GCGGAUAUGUUUACAUGGAAGCGUUCUUAGCGGCGGACGGGUGAGUAACACGUGGGUAACCUGCCUCAAAGUGGGGGAUAGCCUUCCGAAAGGAAGAUUAAUACCGCAUAAGCCUACAGUGCCGCAUGGCACAGCAGGAAAAGGAGCAAUCCGCUUUGAGAUGGACCCGCGGCGCAUUAGCUAGUUGGUGAGGUAAUGGCUCACCAAGGCGACGAUGCGUAGCCGACCUGAGAGGGUGAUCGGCCACAUUGGAACUGAGACACGGUCCAGACUCCUACGGGAGGCAGCAGUGGGGAAUAUUGCACAAUGGGCGAAAGCCUGAUGCAGCAACGCCGCGUGAGUGAUGAAGGCCUUCGGGUCGUAAAGCUCUUUGAUCAGGGAUGAUAAUGACAGUACCUGAAAAACAAGCCACGGCUAACUACGUGCCAGCAGCCGCGGUAAUACGUAGGUGGCGAGCGUUGUCCGGAAUUACUGGGCGUAAAGGAUGCGUAGGUGGAUACUUAAGUGGGAUGUGAAAUCCCCGGGCUCAACCCGGGAACUGCAUUCCAAACUGGGUAUCUAGAGUGCAGGAGAGGAAAGCGGAAUUCCUAGUGUAGCGGUGAAAUGCGUAGAUAUUAGGAGGAACACCAGUGGCGAAGGCGGCUUUCUGGACUGUAACUGACACUGAGGCAUGAAAGCGUGGGUAGCAAACAGGAUUAGAUACCCUGGUAGCCCACGCCGUAAACGAUGGGUACUAGGUGUAGGAGGUAUCGACCCCUUCUGUGCCGUCGUUAACACAAUAAGUACCCCGCCUGGGGAGUACGGUCGCAAGACUAAAACUCAAAGGAAUUGACGGGGCCCGCACAAGC
rnacentral:rRNA from 1 species